ACGGAAGGCAGCAGUGGGGAAUAUUGCACAAUGGGGGAAACCCUGAUGCAGCGACGCCGCGUGAGUGAUGAAGUAUUUCGGUACGUAAAACUCUAUCAGCAGGGAAGAUAAUGACGGUACCUGACUAAGAAGCCCCGGCUAAAUACGUGCCAGCAGCCGCGGUAAUACGUAUGGGGCAAGCGUUAUCCGGAUUUACUGGGUGUAAAGGGAGCGCAGGCGGUUAGUUAAGUUGAGUGUGAAAACCCGGAGCUCAACUCCGGGAUUGCACCCAAAACUGGCUAACUAGAGUGUCGGAGGGGCAAGCGGAAUUCCUAGUGUAGCGGUGAAAUGCGUAGAUAUUAGGAGGAACACCGGUGGCGAAGGCGGCUUGCUGGACGAUAACUGACGCUGAGGCUCGAAAGCGUGGGGAGCAAACAGGAUUAGAUACCCUGGUA
rnacentral:rRNA from 1 species